rnacentral:rRNA from 2 species
UUCCGGUUGAUCCUGCCGGACCUGACUGCUAUCGGAUUGGUACUAAGCCAUGCGAGUCAUUGUAGCAAUACAAGACGGACGGCUCAGUAACACGUAGUCAACCUAACUCGUGGACGUGGAUAACCUCGGGAAACUGAGAAUAAACCACGAUAGAUCAUAGUGCCUGGAAUGGCUUAUGGUCCAAACAGUUUACUGCCAUGGGAUGGGACUGCGGCCUAUCAGCUUGUUGGUGAGGUAAUGGCCCACCAAGGCGAUUACAGGUACGGGCUCUGAGAGGAGAAGCCCGGAGAUGGGUACUGAGACACGGACCCAGGCCCUAUGGGGCGCAGCAGGCGAGAAACCUUAGCAAUGUGCGAAAGCACGACUGGGUCAGUCCGAGUGAUUCCUGAUAAAGGAGUCUUUUGCCUGUCCUAAAAGCACAGGUGAAUAAGGGGUGGGCAAGUCUGGUGUCAGCCGCCGCGGUAAUACCAGCACCUCGAGUGGUCAGGACGUUUAUUGGGCCUAAAGCAUCCGUAGCCGGCUCUGCAAGUCUUCGGUUAAAUCCACCUGCUCAACAGAUGGGCUGCUGGAGAUACUACAGAGCUAGGGAGUGGGAGAGGCAGACGGUAUUCAGUGGGUAGGGGUAAAAUCCUCUGAUCCAUUGAGGACCACCAGUGGCGAAGGCGGUCUGCCAGAACACGUUCGACGGUGAGGGAUGAAAGCUGGGGGAGCAAACCGGAUUAGAUACCCGGGUAGUCCCAGCUGUAAACGAUGCAAACUCGGUGAUGCAUUGGCUUAUGGCCAAUGCAGUGCCGCAGGGAAGCCGUUAAGUUUGCCGCCUGGGAAGUACGGACGCAAGUCUGAAACUUAAAGGAAUUGGCGGGGGAGCACCACAA